AUAUCGAUAGGUAUUGGAUAUCGACAUCCCUAAACAGAAUUUAUAUUGAAUUUCUUUGAAAUUUGUUGUAGUUUUAAUUUAUUAGGUUUCGUUUUAAAUAUCAGUUGAUUACCUUUGAUACUAGAUUCAUGAGAUUAACCAGAUUCAUUUCACGAAAAGAAGUGUAAUAGUGUCAUGUUAGCCAAAAUGAGCCAAAGAUAUUAACGUUAGGAAAACUAGCAAAUUUUUGAAGACAUUGACGUGAUGUCAUAAUUAAAUAAUGAAAUAAAAGCAAAUAUAAAGGCUAAAAAAUAGUGAAAUGUUAUGAAAAUAAAUAAUAAUACGAAGUUAUUGAAAUUUAAAGUAUUACAGUAGGUAAGAAAUUUAUUAGCAAAAUGACAGAAUGGAAGCAUUUGAUAACAGAAUGGUUGAAUGAAUAUGCUUCACUACAAGAGAA